CUUACCUACGGGAGGCAGCAGUGAGGAAUAUUGGUCAAUGGCCGAGAGGCUGAACCAGCCAAGUCGCGUGAGGGAAGACGGCCCUACGGGUUGUAAACCUCUUUUGUCGGGGAGCAAAGCGAGUCACGUGUGACUCAUUGAGAGUACCCGAAGAAAAAGCAUCGGCUAACUCCGUGCCAGCAGCCGCGGUAAUACGGAGGAUGCGAGCGUUAUCCGGAUUUAUUGGGUUUAAAGGGUGCGUAGGUGGUUAAUUAAGU
rnacentral:rRNA from 1 species